rnacentral:lncRNA from 1 species
AGAGAAUCAUUUGAAGAGAAGCAAAAGCCAAGUGAGAGAAAAAGAAAGAGAGAAAGCCAUUCCCGCAUAACCCUAAACCUGCACUGGUGUUUUUGACGCUGUGAAGUCGUUAACCGUUGGAUCGAGCUGAUUUUUGGACAGUAGGUUCCAGAUAUAUGGUUCUUCAUUCUGACCGUUCGGAUUUUCAAUCGGAGGUCUAGUUUGGGAGAAAUCGGUCCUGUACCAGCAGCCCUGUUUUGGAGAAUUUUCAUCUUCUUUGUUCUCAUUUGUAAGCAUUUGUGCUUAGUUAAUUUGGCUUAUUGAAAAUACCAUUUGGUGUUAUUAUUGGAGACUCUUUU